CUCUCCCUGAGACACACACACACACACACACACACACACACACACACAAAUGUCACUAGAGAGUGAUGACAAGUAUGAGGUCCUCUUUCGCCUGGGAUUCAACCGGAAAUGUCUUGCACAGAAAGAUUGUUUGAAUUGGUUAAAGAUAAUUGGUUCCCGUGUUGCUCAUGACAUCACUGUGAAUCUUCCUGGCCCACAUUGAGAGUCUGGCAGGGAACGCUGUGCCACCCCUCGGGACGACAGGAGCUCGGUUUUGUGAAAUGCGUGGGAUGAGGACGACCUGUUUGCCACCAACUGCCACUCUGGAGGAAUUUUUUAUUCUUCUAGUAAAGAAUUCUUAAUGGAACUGGAGAUUCAUCCAUGAAACCUCCUUGAUAGAACGUCUCUCUCCUUCAUGGCAAUUUCAAUCUAACAGUAAAAUUAAGAAUUUCUAUGUGUGGAAUCUCUGCAGGGCAUUAAACAGAACAUGAAGACUGACCAAAAUGCUUUUCUCAGGUUAUUUCCAAACCUGUCUUUGGGGAGAAAAAGUAUAACCCAACCAAACAGAAACUAUACAUCAAAAUUGAAGAAAAAUCA